UUUCUCGUGUCCCACUUACCUCCUUCGGGCGACAACCCUGCUUCUAGAACUAGAUCCACCAGGGAUCCAGGGCCUGGAAGACUGGACAGGGAGAAGAAGGCGUGAGCAUGGUGUACACCCUGGGAAUGGCAGUCAAAGGCAAGCAGUGGCAGCAGACCGCAGCCUGGGCGGGAUGGAGAACUCAACGGAGGCAGGAGACCCACGCUAACCUGGAUUUACAAUAACAGUAUCCAAGGAGACUUGGACGGUGGUGGAAGGAGAGACAGCACGGUUAUUCUUCGGCAGUUGUGGCUUCAGACACAGAGUGAUCAGGUGCAGUUUUUCAGCAGUGUCCCCAGACUCACUGUGACACCAGAUGGCGCUAUCGUCUGAUGUCUCCAGAACUGCAGCUUUCUUCCCUCACCAAUGCUUCAGGGUAUAGUGGUUAGUAGUUACUUCUUUUUAGUUACUCCUUUUUUUAAAAGAUUUUAUUUAUUGAUCUUUAGAUCUUUAGAGGGGAAUGGAAAGAGAGAAGGAGAGAAAUAUCAAUGUAUGGUUGUCUCUCGUAUGUCCCCUGAUGGGAACUGGCCUGCAACCUAGGCAUGUGCCCUGACUGGGAAUCGAACCGUGAUCCUCUGGUUCACAGGCCCACUCUCAAUCCACUGAGCUACACCAGCCAAGGCAGUAGUUACUUCUUUAUGCUCCCCUAAUCUCCUCCUUCCAGAACUUCACAGCAUAGGUUGCCUUUAUUAUUUAAAUAAGUCUUAUAUUCACAUAAUUAAUUACUACAUAAAACAUUCUCUCUGCAAUGCUUGGAGGUGACUUUGCUUCCUGAUUGAUCUCCCAACACUAUAUGAGGUUAAAUUCUGAUAGAGGAUGAUUCCAACAUUUUUAAAGUGGUCACUGCCUUGUGCCCCUAUACUGUUCACGCAGUAUGAACAUUGGACACAAACUGAUGAGUCAUUUGAUUAGAAUAUGGGCUAACAAUAUUUAUUUCAAGCAUUUUUAUAUAACAAAGAAGUAAAGCUCUACAGUAAGAGCCUUGUAUAUACACUAAUACUAAUUAGACAUUUUACAGAUGGGUAUGAACUAUGGAAACAGAAAUUAAGCUCAGAAUUAAUAAUAACAACAUAAAAGAUUAUACAUUAUUAUAAAUUUUGUAUCUUGAAAGCUUAACCAGGAGGAACAUAUAUUUAAAUAUCAAGGUGAGAAAAUGCCAUUGUUAUUUAAAAGAGGUACUGAUUUUUACAUGCUAAUGAUGACCAUAACAGUGUGAUAGGACCUUACAUACAGUAGCUCAAUGAACUCUCACAAAUCAUUGUGAGUUGGGUAUUAAUACACCAUUGAGAAGGUGGUGGAAUAAUGCACAGAGAAUGCUGUCUUUUUUAUGGUAUUUUUUUUUACAUUACCUUUUAGUCCCCUUAUACCACCUUCCUCCCAGCAAUCACCACACUGUUGUCUGUGCCCACGAGUCUUUUUCUUUUUACUCAGUCCCUCUACCCUGUAACCUUGCUUCGCCCAGCCCCAGCUGUCAUCCUGCUCUCCAACUCUGAGUCUGCACAGAGAACUUGGAAGCCCGUAGGCACCUAAAUGGGUUCAUGUUCUUGGUAGGCCAGCAGCUCCCUCAAGUGUUGCUGGCAGUGGGGUAGACUAGAUGCUCUUCUUGUUCCUUGUUUUGGCUUCUUGAUCAUGAAUCCUCUUUCUUUAACUUCUCAAUCUCUCAUGUUACAUCACCCAACACCCCCAAAACAACAAACAAGAAGAACCACACACGUGAAAGGACUGUGCUACAAUUUACUCUUUACAUCAGGCAUCCUGGGUCUCCCAAUUCCUUCGCUGAUUGAAGAUUUAAGCAGCAAGCUAUUCUCUUUUCCCCUCUACUCCAAUUGUAAAUAUUUUGGCCUUUAAGAACCAGUACACAAACAUCUGAUACCUUGACCUGUCAGUUCCCUGACCUCCUCAUAUCCAACAGACUUGUUUUUACUGUCAUUUUAUCUCAGCCCGGACAUUGUCCUUACCAGCAAUUACAACUCUCCCACAAUCUCACUAGCAGGCAUGCCACACAGAGUCCCUCUCAAUAUCUCCUCCAAGUGCUGCAGCAGAAGAUCAGUUUUCAACUCCUCACUUUAUGCUACGUUUCCGUAACAUUUGAUAAAAGUGAUAAUCAGUUCCUUCUUGAUCUUAUUUGUCUUACUGCUUUUGUCUUAUACAUUCUUUGUUUUACUCUAUCUCACUAGUCAUUCUUUUUCAGUUUCUCUUCUGAAUUUGCCCGACUUUUUAAUCUCCAACUAUCGUGACUCUUCUGGUUUGAGCCCCUCACUUUUUUGCCUUUAAUCCACUACUCUAGUUCCAUGGAUGGAAAAAUUUGUAAAGAUGACUCCUAAACUUAUAUUUCCAGCUCUAAUCUCUCCUGUAUUUCAUACUUUUAAAUUCCAUUCUCUCCUUGACAUCCCACAUCUUGUCCCAUGAGUAUCUCAACCUUAACAUAUCCAAACUAAAACUUCUGAUUAUCUCCUGUGGUCCUGGAUCUAGUCCUCCCACAGUCUCUUCCAUCUUGGUGAAUAAUAACUGCUUUAAUUCCUUCUUGAUUUAAAUUUUUCUCUCAGGCUUCAAAUUCAGCUCAAUAAUAAGGUCUGUAAACUCUUAAAUAGGACACAUAUCCAGAGUCAGACAAAAUCUCACCAUCUCCUGUUCAAGUCUGUACCAUCACUCACCUGAAUUCUACACCAGAGUCCUAAUAACUUGCCAAGUAUGUUCACACUCACCCUCUCUUAGAUCUAAUCUAAUCGUAGUGAUUUUUAUUUUAAAAAUUAAUUAAAAUUUCACAUAUGUAAAGAAAAAUAACCAAAUUAUAAUAUUACAGUAGAUGACUUUCAAAAAGUACACAUGUCCCUGUGCCAUAAUGUAAGUUAAGGAAAUAGAUUUUAGAAAUAUUCCCAGAAGCUUAGUCAUAGCACCUCUCAAAUUUCAGUUCCUUCCCUUCUCCCACAAAGGAACUGUGUUAAUCAGUUUCUGACACUAGUUCCCAAUAAUCGCUGCUUCCUGUUAUUGCACACUUGUACAAUUGCUUUGAAUGUGAGCUAAACCUAAUGAAUUGCUUAUAAUGACUACCAACAUUAUAAUUCAUUAUUUCUUUGACUAGGUAACAGUCUAGUUACAGGAAUGAUUCCCAUCUUGAUAGUGCUGUCUCUUGCUGCCUCUCUUUCUCUCUUUCUGUGAAUCUUACCUUUUCACUCUCUUUUGGUCUCUCCCUAUAUUUCUCUCUCUCCCUCAUUCUCUCUCUUUCUUGGCUUGUUCACAUGGAUGAAGCAAGUUACCAUGGUGGCGAGACUCACAUGGUAAUGACUUCAGGAGAGUCUUCAGGUAGCAACCUGCAAAGAAUUGAGGCCUUCCAUCUAAAAACACAUAAUGAUACAAACCUCAGUGACCUUGGGAAAUGGAUCCUUCCCCAACUGAGCCUUGAGUGGCCACAGGACAAAAUUUGAAAUCUUAUUUAGGGUUAAUAUAAGUAAUAUUGAAAGUGAUAGGGGACUCAAGACUUGGAAAAUUUUAGCUUGAGGUAAAAAGUUAUAAGUCUAGCAAGUAAUGUGUAUGUUGAAUCUUCUGUGUCAGAAACUACAGAUAAGGCCCAUCCUGGCUCCUGGGGAAACAGCCAACCUCCUGGGGCACUGGCUAGAGGUUACCACCUGGGGACAAAUUGCAGGCAUCUGGGCCUUUGUGUUCCAGGGAGAGCAGAGGACCACCCUCCCCUGGGAACAGCUAGCUGCCCCGGACAGGAAUGCUGCAGCUUCACUCAACUAAUCCUCCCUGAACUUCAAAGCCCUCACAGCACCUUGUUUAUCCACCUACCCCUACCUUAUAAAAGGUCUGGCCUUGAAAGAAAAGACAAGAGGGUCUGUUAGGGUAUGAACCCGCCAUCUUCUCAGAUCAUCGGCCAUCUGAAUAAAGCGCCCAUAAAAGAUUCAAUGGCUGUCAUUGCUUGUUGGGUUUGGUAGUGGCAGGCAGCCCGAACGCCGGUGUCUUCUCUGGUUACAAAAGUGGAAGUAGGGCAGGGUUACUUUGAAAUAGGAUUAAUGCUGUGAUAUCAGCUGCUUAUUCUCCUGACCAGUAAAAUGUAUUGUUUAUGUGAGGGAAUCAAAGUGAUUCCAGGGACAAUUGAGUUUUUUGGUGAAUUGUAUAUAAUGUAAAGGUAAAAAAGGUGAACUCUUUAUAUGUAUAAGCAGAAAAAGCCCAUUUCCCUCUCUAAUUUUUUAGGGUGUUUCAUUGGAACAAGUGGGCAAAAGUCCUAUCUCUAAAAUAUUAAAUGGCAAUAAAACUGUACAGGACUAAACAAAUAUUGGCAGAUUUAUAAUCCACAGUUGUCUCCAAGUCUCUGGGCUCCGUCAUUUUGAAAUGUGAACACCCAGAAAGCUAGAGCUCCCGGCUCCCUGAGAUGUUGGGGGCUGAAUCUGGGUUGUAUCCUGGUGUACCCAUUUUUUUCUCAAGAAGAUGGAAGAAUUCGGAUUUUUUUCAGAUGAAGGCAAUUAACCAAACAAUGGCUACUAACCAAAGGCAAUUAACCAAACAAUGGCUACUAUGGUUUCCAAGCACGUAUAGGGUGCAUUCAAUGAAGGACAGUGCAGAAAGUUCAGGCUGUAACAGGAAAUUGUGCUGUCCAGUCCUGUUGUGGUAAAACAGCAUAUUCUUCAUCCUAAGAAAACAUAUUAUAUACUUGCUAAAAUUUGUGCAGUGUAAAAGGAUCUCAUCAGUUUUAAUAUGUCAAUAAUGUGAAAUUUUAUCCUGACUUUGUAGUCACUUUCAGUCUACCUAUAGGGAUAUACUUGGUAUUGCUUAUUCUAAACUAAAGAGGUUUCUUUCUUUUUUACAUUGCUGUGGAGAGGAAUUUCUUUGUUAAGACUUUUAAUUCACCAAAAAUAUGAAAAAGUAAAUUUCCUGUCAAUGCUUCAAAUUCCUUUGAAGUUGAACAAAAUACAUAAAUUGACAUCCUUGUGAAGAAACAAUUCAAUCCAUGAUAGGUACAGUAUUAUUCUAUUUAUGAAAGCAUUUUUGUCAACAACAGCAUUUCUGAUUCACUGGCAUUAUUAUAUGUGUUUUUUAUUUUCUACUUUUCUGUGUAUUGUGAACCUUUUUACUGACUGUAAAUUAUUUUGAAAUAAUA